rnacentral:sRNA from 2 species
GUGGGGGUACCGCUGAGUCUGCAACGUUGGCACCGCCAGUGACCGACGUGCGGAGCCGGGGAACCACCCCUUGUCGCCCGUCCUCGGGCGGGAGGGUCUUUCCCGGGGUGAAUCGGCGCGAGGGCCGCCCCCACGGGGUGGUGACACGCCGUAGGGCAGCUUCCGGCCCGAACCCGUCAGCUCACCCGGUAAGCGGCCGAAGGAAGAAGGA